GACGAACGCUGGCGGCGUGCUUAACACAUGCAAGUCGAACGAUGAAGCCGGAGCUUGCUCUGGUGAAUUAGUGGCGAACGGGUGAGUAACACGUGAGUAACCUGCCCUUGACUCUGGGAUAACUGCGGGAAACUGUAGCUAAUACCGGAUACGACCCUCGGAGGCAUCUUCAGGGGGUGGAAAGAAUUUCGGUCAAGGAUGGACUCGCGGCCUAUCAGCUAGUUGGUGAGGUAAUGGCUCACCAAGGCGACGACGGGUAGCCGGCCUGAGAGGGUGACCGGCCACACUGGGACUGAGACACGGCCCAGACUCCUACGGGAGGCAGCAGUGGGGAAUAUUGCACAAUGGGCGCAAGCCUGAUGCAGCAACGCCGCGUGAGGGAUGACGGCCUUCGGGUUGUAAACCUCUUUUAGUAGGGAAGAAGCGAAAGUGACGGUACCUGCAGAAAAAGCACCGGCUAACUACGUGCCAGCCGCCGCGGUAA
rnacentral:rRNA from 1 species